rnacentral:rRNA from 1 species
UACGUAGGGUCCGAGCGUUGUCCGGAGUUACUGGGCGUAAAGGGCGCGCAGGCGGCGGUGCUGGCCCGGCGUGAAAGCCCCCGGCUCAACCGGGGAGGGUCGUCGGGGACCGCACCGCUUGAGGGCGGUAGGGGCUGGUGGAAUGCCUGGUGUAGUGGUGAAAUGCGUAGAGAUCAGGCGGAACACCCGUGGCGAAGGCGGCCAGCUGGGCCGACCCUGACGCUGAGGCGCGAAGGCGUGGGGAGCGAACAGG